rnacentral:rRNA from 1 species
AGCGAACGCUGGCGGCAGGCUUAACACAUGCAAGUCGAGCGGGCAUCUUCGGAUGUCAGCGGCAGACGGGUGAGUAACACGUGGGAACGUACCCUUCGGUUCGGAACAACUCUGGGAAACUGGAGCUAAUACCGGAUACGCCCUUAUGGGGAAAGGUUUACUGCCGAAGGAUCGGCCCGCGUCUGAUUAGCUAGUUGGUGGGGUAACGGCCUACCAAGGCGACGAUCAGUAGCUGGUCUGAGAGGAUGAUCAGCCACACUGGGACUGAGACACGGCCCAGAGUGGUAGGGGAGGGAGAAGUGGGGAAUAGUGGAGAAGGGGCGCAAGCGGGAUAGAGGCAUAGGGCGUGGGUGAAGAAGGCCUUCGGGUGGGAGAGGAAUGUUGUUGGGAAAGAAAAGAAGCAGGUGAAUACCCCGGGGUGAUGACGGUACCAAAAGAAUAAGAACCGGCUAACUUAGUG